AAGAACCACGUUCUAUCCUCCUGGCAACAUACCAAGCACAAUCUUCACAAUUUGGUCGGGUUCUAAGUACGACUUAGUAAAGAAAUAUUCCGAUAGAUGGCGUAAACAACUGGAUUUGGAAAACUAUUCUAGACUAUAUUAUAAACGUUCGACCGGUUAGUGAAAUAAGAGUGAAACGAAAUUUUAUCUUUGGUAAAUUUUAUCUGUCAUUUCUCAACUCAAGAUCCGCCAUUUAUGUUUAUUUUUUUUUCUUCGAAACGUAAUUAAUUUAUUCUUAACACAAGCAAACUAAUCGUGAUGAUAAUUAUUAAAAUUGCCUCAGUUACCAGUGAUAUUCUAAUCAAAUACCAAAAACAUAUGAUAAUUGCCUAGAACAUGCUCUAAACCAAAUUGAAACGUCAUUUUGAAUAGAAGCCAUAACUUUUGAUUCACAUUUGUUUUUCCUAUGGUAAAAUAUCAUGACGCUGGCUUUAACUGAUCUAGCGAGUAAAGAAUGCCUCCAAGAAUGCCCUAUGGUUUCCAAAAUAUAGCCCCUUGAAGAAUUACUACAAAAUGAACGUGAAAAUUCUCUUUCGUCGCCUCAUGGCUGACCUUUUCUCAGUUUGCGUCGUCUAUUUUCCUAUGAACAUAGUGCUCAUAACUAUGACCUAGUGUUUGAACUAUCUGGUACAAAGGAUAUGUAAUGUAAUGAGUCUAGCUGUCGAUACAACGAGUGAAAUGGGCCUAAAUGUGGAAACUGUUGCAUCAAACAAAGCAAUCUGACUACUCUAUUAGAAUGAACCCCGGUAUGUGUAAUUGUUACUGAAGAAAAAGAAAAUGAAAUUACACUGUGAGCACCCCAUUGCUGGUUUUGAUAAAUCCUAAGAACUGUGAAACUAACCGAAACCAACUCUGAUGAUGGCUUGCCAAAAACCUCUACGUCAGCGAGCGGAGCAAAUUCCAUUGAUGCCCUCAUGGGUUCUUCCGAGACUUUCUACAGUCCCCUACAUUCCCGGAGAACGGGCAUCGCUCCGCAGUAACAAUAUGCCUGUCUUCGAUGUACAUCUACAGACUGUCUCCAAUUAUGACAGGCUACCAAAGACCUCUGAGUUUAAUACUUCAAGAAUCCUGUUCAAUGGCCGUAUCUCAAGAAUUUUCUGCUAAGGUCGCUCUAAUCUUCAAUGGAUACAAGAAAGAAAAUAGCAAUCGUUUUGCAGAGCUUAGAAAACAAAGACGCAAGAAGAUGGUUCUAAAAUAGAUAUUAGUGAAGACACAUCUUAACUCAGGAAUGUGAAGAAGAAUCCCUAAUUACGGCGAGCAUAGUAAAAAAUGUAGUACCAAACUCGUCAAGAGAUGGCGCCACUUCCGAGAUAGAACGCGCCAACGAUGUGUCGACGUAGAAUCAUGAGGCCCGAGAUGCUAGUUAUCGAUCGAUUUUGAAUGUCAGAAUAUUAGUGCUAGGUUGGAUGCACAAGUGCAUACCCCUGCU